UACGGGGGGAGCAAGCGUUGUUCGGAUUUACUGGGCGUAAAGGGCGCGUAGGCGGCCAGCACAAGUCAGUUGUGAAAUCUCCGAGCUUAACUCGGAAAGGUCAACUGAUACUGUGCGGCUAGAGUGCGGAAGGGGCAACUGGAAUUCUUGGUGUAGCGGUGAAAUGCGUAGAUAUCAAGAGGAACGCCUGCGGCGAAGGCGGGUUGCUGGGCCGACACUGACGCUGAGGCGCGAAAGCUAGGGGAGCGAACGGG
rnacentral:rRNA from 1 species